CGACCUUUUCCUCUUAAAAUGAUUCUAAUUGUUGUGCUUUGUUAACCAUAACCCUUAUCUGCCUCUGAACCUGAUAAGCUAACUGUUGUGUAGAAAGAAAUUAAAGAUGAUGGAAGUGUUGGUGUUAGGUUGCACAGGAGUGGCUUUUUCCAUGCUCUCACCCAACAACACAUUGCUCUCCACUCUCUCUCUCUCUCUCUCAGUUUCUUGGGGUUCGUUGUGUGGUAGAGUAGAGUCGUGACCAGAACAAUCAACAAAGCAGAGCAGAGCAGACUAUGUUGUCUGCUAUUACUUGCACCUUCCGUCACGCUUUUGUAAAUAUUUUAGCUUUUUAGCGUAGGAAUAGGAUGGACCACGAUGUAUGUCGCAAAUAAAUUAAAUUGAAGCUCUGAAUAUCUUCUUCACCCAGAUGAAUGCUUAUUCUUGUAAUAUUUUCUUUAUUUAUUGCAUCAAUAAAAAAUCCAGCUUGCUUUUAUUUA